UCCCUCUGGUCAAAUAGAGGAGGGCAGUUCAGUGACUCUGAGCUGCAGCAGUGAUGCCAACCCAGCAGCUGAGUACACCUGGUUCAAGGUUAAUAGAGAUGGUUCCUCCAGGUGCAUGAACCAGGGACAACAGCUCAUCUUUAGGCGGAUCCUAUCUUCUGACUCUGGACGAUAUCGCUGUGACACUCAGAAUAAGCUAGGGGAUAGAUGGUUUUUCAUCUCUAUUAACGUAAAUUAUGGUCCUAAACACAUAUCUGUGUUAUCAAGUUCCUCUGGUGAAAUAGGGGAGGGCCGUUCAGUGACUCUGAGCUGCAGCAGUGAUGCCAACCCAGCAGCUGAGUACACCUGGUUCAAG